rnacentral:lncRNA from 1 species
UUCAAUAAAACAUUUAAAUUUUACAUGAAAAAAUAUAUUAAUUCUAUUUUAUUAAAUGAAAUAAUCUUAAAUUAAAUAUAUCAAUUUAAUAAACUAUCAAGUUCCAUAAUUAAAUAUUUACUAUGAAUUUAAAAUUUUGUAAAUUUAUAACUUGAUUAUUUAAAUUUAAUAAUUCGUGAUAAAUUAAUUAAUUUAAUAUGAUAACUUAUAUUGAUUAAUUAAAAUUAUGACUCAAUAGUCGUUUCGGAAGAAUGUAAAAUGAAAUAUGCAGGAGAACAAUUAUGCAUAAAAAUGUUUGAGAACGGAGAAAGGGAAGACUUGAUCGGAGAUCGGAAUACUAAAAAAAGUUCAUUUUAAGGACUUGGACUCUGGUGUGGAAAAUGAUAUGGUUGUGGACUCUAUUCCGGCGCAGGAAAUCUCUUGGAGGGACAAAGUUCUGGGUCGAGGGGCUCCUGACUCCAGUAGAGACGAGGAUUUUGAAUUUCUAGAUGGAAAUGUCGUGAGAACUACGGUUAAUGGUGUUCCCCCUAUCAACUUUUCCGAAAGGAGCCAACGAAUUCCCUUCCCUCCGACAGGAGCCAACGAAUUCCCUUCCCAGAUAUGGCGACCACGGUGGUUGUUAAAUUACUUGGCCGGAAUAUUUCUUACUCUAUUUUGCAUAAUAGGAACCACAGUCUCUAGAAGCCUUCACAACAGAUUCACAUAAUGGAUGUGGAAAAUUGUUAUUUCCUGAUAAAAUUUCAAAGUCAUGACGAUUAUGAGAGGGUUCUUACCUAGGGUCCAUGGAUUGUCCUUGGCCAAUAUCUCACGGUUCAACCGUGGACUGCAGAGUUUAAUCCUCUCCAAGCAUUUCCUAGCAGCACCAUCGUUUGGGUCAGAUUACCGGGGUCUCUUGGGGUUCCUCUAUAAGCGCCAAAUAUUAGAAGAAAUCGGAGGUCUGAUUGGGACGGUCACAAAGCUCGAUUUUCAAACGGACAAAGGUUCGAGGGGAAAUUUUGCAAGAAUGGUCGUGUGCAUUGAUUUGAUAAAACCUUUGGUAUCUCAGAUCUUGGUUAACAGGGCGGUGCAGAAGGUUGAGUUUGAAGCGUUGCUAUUUGUGUGUUUCUCUUGUGGAAGAUUCGGGCAUUCAAAUGCCACGUGCGUAGAAAUGGGAUAUUCACAAAAUGCUGGCGAUGGAAUGAACACAGCAAUGGAAAGCUUACUGGAGGUAGUCAAAGCGGUGGAGCCAUUGGAGCCUUUUGGUCCCUGGAUGAUCGUUGAGAGGAAGUCAAAGCAUAAUUCUAGCGCUCGCAUUAAUACUGAAACGAAAAUUGCCAUGAAUAACGCUCUGAAUCUGUUUGGGAUUUGGAAAGGCUGAGAUAAGGGAAAAAGAAGCAGAUGUUUCGGGGAUAACAUUUCAAAAAGGGAAAUUUCUCAAAGGGAUCAAUCAAAGGACUGCUUCUAGGGAUAAGGGAAAUACUGAGCUAAUAACCAAAACGGCAAAUAACUUUAGCGUGUUGGGAAAAGCAGAUGUGGACGGGCUGGACUUUUUGAUGGAAAUAGAGGCAGGUGGAUAGCGGGCUUAUGGUGGAGGGUCCGGGUAUGUCUAUUGAGUCACUGGUGGACCCACAAGGUUUUAGCAGCUGAUAUUAACGUGCAAAUCAAAGACACUGGGCUUGGCUUACCGAGUUUGUAUUUAUUGAAGGAUCCCGGGGGCCAGGUGGACAGUGGGCCCGUGUUGGCUGAAACGGGUUUUCAUAAAGGUUUAUUAGUUGAUCCAUCAGGUCUUAAAAAACAUAGUGGAUGAAAAUAAAAAUAAGACCAAGCUUGCUGGGCUUGUUGUGCCGUGCCAAGAAAGUGGAGGUUUGGGGAUUUCUUUUAAUUCGUUGAUACAAGUCUAAAG